CCAGAAAAUUCCCCACUUUAGUUGGAAGCAGUCAGCGGAGAGCGAGCGACCGAUCGGAGAAGCUGCGGAGAAAUUGAGGACAAGGAGAGUGCGCGGGAAGUGGGCAUGGUGAGGAGUUAGAGGAGCAUGAGGAAUAAGUCGACGCCUAGGCCAGGGUGUCAAAAUUAGCAGUCUUUGUUUAAUCCUUAAAUAAAGUCAGUGAAGAAUAAGAGGAAGUGCUAUCAAUACAUGUGCAUAUGCACGUGGUUGAACACUUGGCCUACUAUCUAUUAUUUGGUUAAGUGAGGGUGUAAGCUAUUAUGUAAAGAAUAAGCUGGAAUUAAAGUAUUACUUGUGCCC
rnacentral:rRNA from 1 species